rnacentral:piRNA from 1 species
ACAGACUGGAUAGAAGCUGGGAGCA